CUCAAAUAAUAAUAAUAAUAAUAUUAGCAAAAAAGUGAAAAUACCUAGUAAUAACAGCAAUAAUAAUAGCAUGCACGAUCCUUUUGUGGGUCAUAUGCAUGAUGAUUGGGUGUUCACGCACAAGUAUGAGAUGUGCCACCUUUUUACAGCAUUGGCACAUUACCUGUCUGAUGACAACGAUGACAAAAAGGAGAAGGAGGAGAAGAGAAGGAGAAGGAGAGGAAGAGGGAGAGGAAGAGGAAGAGAAAAGGAGAGCAGGCACUUUUUU
rnacentral:lncRNA from 1 species